rnacentral:rRNA from 1 species
GACGAACGCUGGCGGCGUGCUUAACACAUGCAAGUCGAACGGAAAGGCCCUGCUUUUGUGGGGUGCUCGAGUGGCGAACGGGUGAGUAACACGUGAGGAACCUGCCCUUGACUUUGGGAUAACUUCAGGAAACUGGGGCUAAUACCGGAUAGGAGCUCCUGCUGCAUGGUGGGGGUUGGAAAGUUUCGGCGGUUGGGGAUGGACUCGCGGCUUAUCAGCUUGUUGGGGGGGUAGUGGCUUACCAAGGCUUUGACGGGUAGCCGGCAUGAGAGGGUGACCGGCCACCUUGGGCCUGCGAUACGGCGCAGACUCCUACGGGAGGCAGCAGUGGGGAAUAUUGCGCAAUGGGCGGAAGCCUGAUGCAGCAACGCCGCGUGCGGAAUGCCGGCCUUCGGGUUGUAAACCGCUUUCGCAUGUGACGAAGCGUUAGUGACGGUAAUGGGUAAAGAAGCACCGGCUAACUACGUG